GUGUUGUAUGAAAGGAGAAAUCAGCACUCCCCUUGGAAAGGAUGGAAGAGGCCCUUGCGGCCUAUACAAAAUGCAUACAGUUAAGGCACUGCCACCUAUUUUGUGGCAUCUAUGUGU
rnacentral:ncRNA from 1 species